CAUGACUUGUGGUUAUUAAUUAGAACUAAUUGGCACUUAACAACAUGAUGUCAAGGGUACUUAAUUAGUUAAUUAGAACAUUAUUAAUCUUGGAACCCACUUUAAGCAACAAAGUUGAAAAUGUCAUUUUCCUAGAGGAAUCUUUUUGUUCAUAUGUCAAUAUUGCAUUAAUUAAUGAAUCUCAUGGUCCAUA